rnacentral:rRNA from 1 species
AGAGGGUGCGAGCGUUAAUCGGAAUUACUGGGCGUAAAGGGCGCGUAGGUGGUGAUUUAAGUUAGCUGUGAAAUACCAGGGCUCAACCUUGGGGCGUCAGCUAAAACUGGAUGACUAGAGUACAGUAGAGGGUAGUGGAAUUUCCAGUGUAGCGGUGAAAUGCGUAGAUAUUGGAAGGAACACCGGUGGCGAAGGCGGCUACCUGGACUGUUACUGACACUGAGGCGCGAAAGCAUGGGUAGCGAACAGGGAUUAGAUACCCUGGUAGUCCAUGCUGUAAACGAUGACAACUAGCUGUUGGUGACCAAUGAGUUAUCAGUGGCGCAGCAAACGCGUUAAGUUGUCCGCCUGGGGAGUACGGCCGCAAGGCUA